AGAACCUGAAACCGUGUACGUACAAGCAGUGGGAGCACCUUCGGGUGUGACUGCGUACCUUUUGUAUAAUGGGUCAGCGACUUAUAUUCUGUAGCAAGGUUAACCGUAUAGGGGAGCCGCAGGGAAACCGAGUCUUAACUGGGCGUUAAGUUGCAGGGUAUAGACCCGAAACCCGGUGAUCUAGCCAUGGGCAGGUUGAAGGUUGGGUAACACUAACUGGAGGACCGAACCGACUAAUGUUGAAAAAUUAGCGGAUGACUUGUGGCUGGGGGGGAAAGGCCAAUCAAACCGGGAGAUAGCUGGUUCUCCCCGAAAGCUAUUUAGGUAGCGCCUCGUGAAUUCAUCUUCGGGGGUAGAGCACUGUUUCGGCUAGGGGGUCAUCCCGACUUACCAACCCGAUGCAAACUACGAAUACCGAAGAAUGUUAUCACGGGAGACACACGGCGGGUGCUAACGUCCGUCGUGAAGAGGGAAACAACCCAGACCGCCAGCUAAGGUCCCAAAGUCAUGGUUAAGUGGGAAACGAUGUGGGAAGGCACAGACAGCCAGGAUGUUGGCUUAGAAGCAGCCAUCAUUUAAAGAAAGCGUAAUAGCUCACUGGUCGAGUCGGCCUGCGCGGAAGAUGUAACGGGGCUAAACCAUGCACCGAAGCUGCGGCAGCGACACUAUGUGUUGUUGGGUAGGGGAGCGUUCU
rnacentral:rRNA from 1 species